UUUAACAGUGGGUUUUUUUCCUGGAUCACCUUUGAAUUAUUUAAGAGCCAACUUUAUUAGGUAUAGUACUGGAAAAUACUUUAACCUACACUGUGGUUAUUGAACUGAACCCUGGUGUAUUUAAGACACUUUAUUAACUCAAAAAA